GCGAGAGUGGCGGAACUGGCAGACGCGCUGGAUUUAGGAUCCAGUCCCUCUUGGGGUGGGGGUUCAAGUCCCCCCUUUCGCA
rnacentral:tRNA from 1 species